UGGCGACCGGCGCACGGGUGAGUAACACGUAUCCAACCUGCCCUUUACUUGGGGAUAGCCUUUCGAAAGAAAGAUUAAUACCCGAUAGCAUAAUGAUUCCGCAUGGUUUCAUUAUUAAAGGAUUCCGGUAAAGGAUGGGGAUGCGUUCCAUUAGGUUGUUGGUGAGGUAACGGCCCACCAAGCCUUCGAUGGAUAGGGGUUCUGAGAGGAAGGUCCCCCACAUUGGAACUGAGACACGGUCCAAACUCCUACGGGAGGCAGCAGUGAGGAAUAUUGGUCAAUGGGCGAUAGCCUGAACCAGCCAAGUAGCGUGAAGGAUGACUGCCCUAUGGGUUGUAAACUUCUUUUAUAAAGGAAUAAAGUCGGGUAUGCAUACCCGUUUGCAUGUACUUUAUGAAUAAGGAUCGGCUAACUCCGUGCCAGCAGCCGCGGUAAUACGGAGGAUCCGAGCGUUAUCCGGAUUUAUUGGGUUUAAAGGGAGCGUAGAUGGAUGUUUAAGUCAGUUGUGAAAGUUUGCGGCUCAACCGUAAAAUUGCAGUUGAUACUGGAUGUCUUGAGUGCAGUUGAGGCAGGCGGAAUUCGUGGUGUAGCGGUGAAAUGCUUAGAUAUCACGAAGAACUCCGAUUGCG
rnacentral:rRNA from 1 species